CCAUGAUCUGAGGAGUGUGUGGCCAUAAUAACAUAAUUUAUUGAUUGGUGCUCAUUGAAGCAUCUCCUGACCCUCAAGAAUACCAGCAAUAUGAUUCUAGAUCCCAUAACCAAUGGAUUUUAAGACUCCUUACCAUCUCUGAUUGCCCCUCAACACCAUCACCAAAUCUACAAUUCUGGGAAAUUCCAAGAAUAUGUUUCUGACUGCCUCAAAAUGUUGGAGUUCAGAAACCCACCAAUAAUGAUGCCAAUGGACAUUUUGACUGCUCUUGAGAGUUUACUAGGUCUCUCAUGAAACUGUUGGGAAAUGGAGCUUGUUAAUUAGGGAGAAUAAAGUGCUACACAUCUCCAUCCCCACCUAGUGACUCCACUUCAAGUGACACUAGCAACACAAGAGAAACAUCUUGACAUCACAAGGAAGUCAGGAGUUCUGCCCACCAAACAUCUGCCCUCCUGUUGGUACCCGGACUCCCCAGUGCACCUGGGGUGAGAAUGGAAGACCCAGGAGAAACUUGGCUCUGAGUAAAUAUUAUUUCUCAAAGUCUAUAAAAAGCAUGAAAGCCAGAUUAAACCAUUGCUAUGAAAGGGGAAACACAGAUCCACUCAAGCAUCUGGUUGCUGCCUAAAACCAAGGAGGAAAAGAAAAUUUAGAGAACAGGUUAAUGAGACUUGAGUUUUAAACUUUGGACUUCUAAUUCAGAAGAACAAGAAAUUUUGA